UGGGGAAUAUUGCACAAUGGGCGCAAGCCUGAUGCAGCCAUGCCGCGUGUGUGAAGAAGGCCUUCGGGUUGUAAAGCACUUUCAGCGAGGAGGAAGGUGGUGAGCCUAAUACGCUCAUCAAUUGACGUUACUCGCAGAAGAAGCACCGGCUAACUCCGUGCCAGCAGCCGCGGUAAUACGGAGGGUGCAAGCGUUAAUCGGAAUUACUGGGCGUAAAGCGCACGCAGGCGGUUUGUUAAGUCAGAUGUGAAAUCCCCGGGCUCAACCUGGGAACUGCAUUUGAAACUGGCAAGCUAGAGUCUCGUAGAGGGGGGUAGAAUUCCAGGUGUAGCGGUGAAAUGCGUAGAGAUCUGGAGGAAUACCGGUGGCGAAGGCGGCCCCCUGGACGAAGACUGACGCUCAGGUGCGAAAGCGUGGGGCAGCAAACAGGAUUAGAUACCCUGGUAGUCCACGCUGUAAAACGAUGUCGAUUUUGGAGGUUGUGCCCCUUGAGGCGUGGCUUCCGGAGCUAACGCGUUAAAUCGACCGCCU
rnacentral:rRNA from 1 species